AGAGUUUGAUCCUGGCUCAGGAUGAACGCUAGCGGCAGGCUUAACACAUGCAAGUCGAGGGGUAACAGGGUGCUUGCACCGCUGACGACCGGCGCACGGGUGCGUAACGCGUAUACAAUCUACCUUUUACAGAGAGAUACCCCAGAGAAAUUUGGAAUAAUACCUCAUAAUAUUAUUGCUCGGCAUCGAGUGACAAUUAAAGUUUCGGCGGUAAAAGAUGAGUAUGCGUCCUAUUAGCUAGUUGGUAAGGUAACGGCUUACCAAGGCGACGAUAGGUAGGGGUCCUGAGAGGGAGAUCCCCCACACUGGUACUGAGACACGGACCAGACUCCUACGGGAGGCAGCAGUGAGGAAUAUUGGUCAAUGGGCGAAAGCCUGAACCAGCCAUGCCGCGUGCAGGAAGACUGCCCUAUGGGUUGUAAACUGCUUUUAUACAGGAAGAAACACUCCCUCGUGAGGGAGCUUGACGGCACUGUAUGAAUAAGCACCGGCCAACUCCGUGCCAGCAGCCGCGGUAA
rnacentral:rRNA from 1 species